GAGCCAUUGGAAAUCUGUGGAGAAAUUUUGGAACUAUAAAUGCUGACCGUGCCGAGUCCUCGAAGCUACGUGACAGAGAUGGAGCACUGGGAAUGCACAGAGAACCAGUUUCCCUUUGGGAAAUAGUCUCUCGCUUCCUCCUGUCUGAACCUGAAGGCAUCAUCAGUAUGUGGGGCCUAAACCAGAGUUCUCCGUUUUCCUGUGGCCAGCCUCUCCGAUGCUCCCACCCAUGUAUCUGAAAAGCACCUUGAUUUAUUUUGAUGAUUUUUUAUUUAUUUAUCUGUAAACAAACUCUGUGUCCCGUGGCCACAGUCACCCACGUUUGUCUCCAAAAUAAACGUCUCUUCUUUG
rnacentral:lncRNA from 1 species